UUUGACGGAGCAACCCCGCGUGAUUGAUGAAGGUUUUCGGAUCGUAAAGNUCUGUUUUAGGNAAGAACAAGUACCGUUCGAAUAGGGCGGUACCUUGACGGUACCUAACCAGAAAGCCACGGCUAACUACGUGCCAGCAGCCGCGGUAAUACGUAGGUGGCAAGCGUUGUCCGGAAUUAUUGGGCGUAAAGGGCUCGCAGGCGGUUUCUUAAGUCUGAUGUGAAAGCCCCCGGCUCAACCGGGGAGGGUCAUUGGAAACUGGGGAACUUGAGUGCAGAAGAGGAGAGUGGAAUUCCACGUGUAGCGGUGAAAUGCGUAGAGAUGUGGAGGAACACCAGUGGCGAAGGCGACUCUCUGGUCUGUAACUGACGCUGAGGAGCGAAAGCGUGGGGAGCGAACAGGAUUAGAU
rnacentral:rRNA from 1 species